GGGGUAUAUUAGACAAUGGGCGCAAGCCUGAUCCAGCCAUGCCGCGUGGGUGAAGAAGGCCUUCGGGUUGUAAAGCCCUCUUGUUGGGAAAGAAAAGCAGCCGGCCAAUACCCGGUUGUUCUGACGCUACCGAAACAAUAAGCCCCGACUACCUUCGUGCCAGCAGCCGCGGUAAUACGAAGGGUGCAAGCGUUACUCGGAAUUACUGGGCGUAAAGCGUGCGUAGGUGGUGGUUUAAGUCCGUUGUGAAAGCCCUGGGCUCAACCUGGGAACUGCAGUGGAUACUGGAUCACUAGAGUGUGGCAGAGGGUAGUGGAAUUCCCGGUGUAGCAGUGAAAUGCGUAGAGAUCGGUAGGAAUAUCAGUGGCGAAGGCGACUUCCUGGGGCAACACAGACACUGAGGCACGAAAGCGUGGGGAGCAAACA
rnacentral:rRNA from 1 species